UACGUAGGGGGCGAGCGUUGUCCGAAGUUACUGGGCGUAAAGCGUGCGUAGGCGGUUUGUUAAGUCCGUUGUGAAAGCCCUGGGCUCAACCUGGGAAUUGCAGUGGAUACUGGCGAGCUAGAGUGCGGUAGAGGAUGGUGGAAUUCCCGGUGCAGCGGUGAAAUGCGUAGAGAUCGGGAGGAACACCCGUGGCGAAGGCGGCCAUCUGGACCAGCACUGACGCUGAGGCACGAAAGCGUGGGGAGCAAACAGG
rnacentral:rRNA from 1 species